UUACACCCAAUAUAUAUACUUUGACCAUUAAGAAACUGAAGUAAGUUUCCUAUGUGAUAUUAUAUUCUAAUUCAUUUACAUGUUAUGUUAAUUAUUGAGAAACAUUGCGGUCUGUUAGAAUUUUGUGAGUGAGAAUUACAUCUUUACCAAUUCCUUUAAUUACUUAUAUUUUUUUUAAGAACCAUGAUAUUGAUGCAUGAUAAGUCUGUUAGAGUCUUUAUUUAAUUAUUAUUCUUUCUCACAUUGCUCGGUUGAUCUGGAUGAGUUUGAGGAAUUGAAUAGGAAGGUAGCGAAGAUUACUGAGUUGUAUCUUCAAGAAAGGGCUGCAAGGGAAGAAGAGGCAAAGCGAAGGGAGGAAGAAGAUAGGUGAAGAGAGGAAGAGGAAAAGCGAAGGGAGGAAAAAAUGAGGCAAAAGGACGAUGCAUUAAAACUUGUCACUAGUGAUGCUAAAAGUCUCAAGUCUCAGAUAAACUCCCUCUUAGCAUCUGGUGCAUUUUCUGUGCCCCGUUCUCCACCAUAUGAUGAUAACUAAGGAGUAGUUUCUUUUAUUAGCUUGUCUUGGAUGGUACCUGGAUGUUGAACAUUGAAUGUUGGAUUUUUUUGAGUUUUUGUUCUACUUUCUGAUUAGUUGGAUAUUG
rnacentral:lncRNA from 1 species